UAGGGAAUCUUCGGCAAUGGGGGGAACCCUGACCGAGCAACGCCGCGUGAGUGAAGAAGGUUUUCGGAUCGUAAAGCUCUGUUGUUAAGGAAGAACGAGUGUGAGAAUGGAAAGUUUAUACUGUGACGGUACUUAACCAGAAAGGGACGGCUAACUACGUGCCAGCAGCCGCGGUAAUACGUAGGUCCCGAGCGUUGUCCGGAUUUAUUGGGCGUAAAGCGAGCGCAGGCGGUUAGAUAAAUCUGAAGUUAAAGGCAGUGGCUCAACCAUUGUAGGCUUUGGAAACUGUUUAACUUGAGUGCAGAAGGGGAGAGUGGAAUUCCAUGUGUAGCGGUGAAAUGCGUAGAUAUAUGGAGGAACACCGGUGGCGAAAGCGGCUCUCUGGUCUGUAACUGACGCUGAGGCUCGAAAGCGUGGGGAGCGAACAGGAUUAGAUACCCUGGUAGUCCACGCCGUAACGAUGAGUGCUAGGUGUUAGGUCCUUUCCGGGACUUAGUGCCGCAGCUAACGCAUUAAGCACUCCGCCUGGGGAGUACGACCGCAAGGUUG
rnacentral:rRNA from 1 species